UGAGAGAGAACAAAAAAAAGAACCAUUUACACACUUUACAAAAAAAAGGUACAAUUAUCAGAGACACUGCAAAACAGAGACAAGAGGCAACGGACA